rnacentral:rRNA from 1 species
GACGAACGCUGGCGGCGUGCUUAACACAUGCAAGUCGAACGGAAAGGCCCUGCUUUUGUGGGGUGCUCGAGAGGCGAACGGGUGAGUAACACGUGAGUAACCUGCCCUUGACUUUGGGAUAACUUCAGGAAACUGGGGCUAAUACCGGAUAGGAGCUCCUGCUGCAUGGUGGGGGUUGGAAAGUUUCGGCGGUUGGGGAUGGACUCGCGGCUUAUCAGCUUGUUGGUGGGGUAGUGGCUUACCAAGGCUUUGACGGGUAGCCGGCCUGAGAGGGUGACCGGCCACAUUGGGACUGAGAUACGGCCCAGAAUCCUACGGGAGGCAGCAGUGGGGAAUAUUGCACAAUGGGCGGAAGCCUGAUGCAGCAACGCCGCGUGCGGGAUGACGGCCUUCGGGUUGUAAACCGCUUUCGCCUGUGACGAAGCGUGAGUGACGGUAAUGGGUAAAGAAGCGCCGGCUAACUACGUG